rnacentral:rRNA from 1 species
CGUAACAAGGUUUCCGUAGGUGAACCUGCGGAAGGAUCAUUACUAGAGCAAAGGAUAGACAGCGCCCGCGGAGCUCGCUCCCGGGGCCACCCUACUCCGGUAGGGUUUAGAGUCGUCGGGCCUCUCGGAGAAGCUCGGUCCUGAACUCCACCCCUGAAUAAACUACCUUUGUUGCUUUGGCGGGCCGCCUCGUGCCAGCGGCUUCGGCUGUUGAGUGCCCGCCAGAGGACCACAACUCUUGUUUUUAGUGAUGUCUGAGUACUAUAUAAUAGUUAAAACUUUCAACAACGGAUCUCUUGGUUCUGGCAUCGAUGAAGAACGCAGCGAAAUGCGAUAAGUAAUGUGAAUUGCAGAAUUCAGUGAAUCAUCGAAUCUUUGAACGCACAUUGCGCCCUUUGGUAUUCCGAAGGGCAUGCCUGUUCGAGCGUCAUUAUCACCCCUCAAGCUCAGCUUGGUGUUGGGGCCUGCCCGUCACAGGGCAGCCCUUAAAAGCAGUGGCGGUGCCAUCUGGCUCUACGCGUAGUAAUACUCCUCGCGACAGAAUCCCCGGUGGUGUCCUGCCAGAACCCCCCCUAUUUUUAAUGAUUGGCCUCCCGAUCAGGUAGGGAUACCCGCUGAAACUUAAGCAUAUCAAUAAGCGGAGGAAAAGAAACCAACAGGGAUUGCCCCAGUAACGGCG